rnacentral:lncRNA from 1 species
GGGAUGAGAGGCCACUUGCAGAGAGAAGCCACAGGCAGCCGAACGAGCCCUUUGGUCUCCCUGGUGGUCUCUCGAAGACCUUUCCAGAGGCAUCACGGAAGAGCAGGGAAGCCAAGGGAGCCAGAGGGCCACCUGCCCCAGCACCCUCUUCACAGGCACAUUGUUCUGAUGAAGCAAUUCAGAAAACACACACACUGAUAUCCAGCAGUGAUCUUCACCUCUCCAUUGCCAGCACCCAGGAGCCAUUAAUUGCUUUUUCAAGAUAUGUCUGAAGCGAGGACAAAAGCAAAGAACUUCAUUUGGGAAUUUGGUGUAGUGAUAAAGGAGGGAAGAGAGAAAGCAGAAGUGCCCAGUGGCUUUUUCCUUCUGCGCUAUUCAACAAGGCAGCCCAGUGUUCAACCCUAAAGAAGGUAAAACAAACAACGCAAAGAGGGAAUUUCAGUUUCAGAUAGGCUCUUGCCUAUUGAGCUAGUGAGAGACAGCCUAGUCACUUCAAGUGGCCUCAAGAAUCCAGGCCAGUAUGAAUUGGAUUACAGGGCCUCAAGGAAUUUCAGAAUCACUAACAGUCAUCUUUGAGAGAUUAUGAGAAGCAGAAAAAUAAUAAUGGAAGACUGAGGAGAGUAAGGGAUUGUCAGAGAAAGUAAUAUUUGCUCUUUGCUGCUACAGAGAACCAAAGCAAAACCAAUGAAUUUCAGUUAUAAAUAGAUAUGAGUGUCAAUGAAAGGAGGGAAGUUAUAUGUGGAAUCUUAAAAAGGUGGUGGGGGGCGGGUGUACAAAUGAACUUAUUUGCAAAACAGAAAUAGAGUUACAGAUGUAGUAAACAAACUUAUGGUUACGGGGUCGGAGGGGAGAGGAGAAGGAUAAGUUGGGAGACUGGGAUUGAGACACACACACUACUAUACAUAAAGAGAUAACUAAUAAGGACCUACUGUACAGCACAGGGAACUCUACUCAAUACUGUGUAAUGACCUAUAUGGGAAAAGAAUCUACAAAAGAGUGGAUAUAUGUACAGCCGAUUCACUCUGUUGUAGAUCAAAAAGUAAUACAACAUUGUCAAUCAACUAUACACCAAUAAAAAAUUAAUUAGAAAAGAAAAAAAGCA